GCCGGUCCUCGGUAGUGGCCCCCUGGGAGCAGGAUGCGACCAGGGGACUUCGAUCGAAGACCGGC
rfam:Actinosynnema mirum DSM 43827, complete genome.